CGGCAAGAGCUCAAAUUUGAAAUCUGGCCCCUCCGGGGUCCGAGUUGUAAUUUGGAGAGGAUGCUUCGGGCGUGGCCCCCAUCUAAGUGCCCUGGAACGGGCCGUCAUAGAGGGUGAGAAUCCCGUCUGGGAUGGGUGGUCCUGCCCGUGUGAAGCUCCUUCGA
rnacentral:rRNA from 1 species